rnacentral:piRNA from 1 species
UAAUUAGGAAAGUCCUACCCAUCAANACCCC